AUACGGAGGGUGCAAGCGUUGUUCGGAAUCACUGGGCGUAAAGGGCGCGCAGGCGGCCUGAUCAGUCAGAUGUGAAAGCCCACGGCUUAACUGUGGAAGUGCAUUUGAAACUGUCAGGCUUGAGUACCAGAGGGAAAGUGGAAUUCCCGGUGUAGAGGUGAAAUCCGUAGAUAUCGGGAGGAAUACCGGUGGCGAAGGCGACCACCUGGCCAAAUACUGACGCUGAGGUGCG
rnacentral:rRNA from 1 species